rnacentral:rRNA from 1 species
AUCAACGCUGGCGGCGUGCCUAACACAUGCAAGUCGAACGAGAAAGUCCCGCAAGGGAUGAGUACAGUGGCGUACGGGUGAGUAACACGUGGAUAACCUGCCAUCAAAUGGGGAAUAACCCUGGGAAACCGGGGCUAAUACCGCAUAACACUUGGGAGCUUCGGCUCCAGAGUUGAAAUUCGCAAGAAGUUUGAUGAGGGGUCCGCGGCUGAUUAGCUAGUUGGCGGGGUAACGGCCCACCAAGGCUUUGAUCAGUAGCCGGCCUGAGAGGGCGGACGGCCACACUGGAACUGCAACACGGUCCAGACUCCUACGGGAGGCAGCAGUGGGGAAUUUUGCGCAAUGGGGGAAACCCUGACGCAGCAACGCCGCGUGGACGAUGAAGCUUCUUGGAGUGUAAAGUCCUUUCGGCAGGGAAGAAUCCCGCAAGGGUUGACGGUACCUGAAGAAGAAGCCCCGGCUAACUCCGU